UACGUAGGGUCCGAGCGUUGUCCGGAAUUACUGGGCGUAAAGCGCGCGUAGGCGGACCUGCAAGUCGGGGGUGAAAGCCCGAGGCUCAACCUCGGAACUGCCUUCGAUACUGCGGGUCUCGAGUCCGGGAGAGGUGAGUGGAAUUCCUAGUGUAGAGGUGAAAUUCGUAGAUAUUAGGAAGAACACCAGUGGCGAAGGCGGCUCAGCUGGCCCGGUACUGACGCUGAGGCGCGAAAGCGUGGGGAGCAAACAGG
rnacentral:rRNA from 1 species